rnacentral:lncRNA from 1 species
UUCUUAAGUAAAACUAUAGUUAUUUUCUGUUUCAGCCUCUGAUGUCAUCUAGUGGAGUCACUUUCCUGGGCCCUGUACUCCAACCUGAGGCAAAAAGAUAAACCUAAGGAGCCUACCGCCACUGGACACCAACAUUCCACAAGAAAACACUUGGAAAGCAGUAUCUACCCAGGCUCUUUUCAACUCCGCGCUGAAGGCUCCCACCGGAACUCCUCCGAGUCCAAGCUCUUCCAUUGGUUGAAGCUUCGCCCGCUUCCCCUCGCUUCCUCUCACG